UGAAAGUGAAGUGGCUUAGUCAUGUCUGACUCUUUAGCGACCGCAUGGACUACAGCCCACCAGGCUCCUCCAUCCAUGGGAUUCUCCAGGCAAGAGUACCGGAGUGGGGUGCCAUUGCCCUCUCCACCAGGGAGUGGAGACUGCCAUCAUUUCCUCCUGUGCCUACUGCACACAGUGGGGUGUCGCUCCAGGACCUUGCUUCAGACAGGCCUUAGCUGCAGCACUCAGGAUCUUCGAUCUUCAUUGCAGCAUGCAGGAUCUGCUGGUUGUGGCAUGUGAACUGUUAGUUGUGGCCUGUGGGAUCUAGUUCCCUGAUCAGGGAUUGAACCCAGGCUUUCUGCAUUGGGAAUACAGAGUCUGACCACUGGACCACCAGGAAAGUCCCUUAAAAGUUUUUUAACAGGGUAAAUCUUUUGUGGUAUUCUUAUGUUAAUAAAAUUAAAAAUCAAAUUAUUAUUAAAGUAAAAAUAAAUGUUCUGUUGCUGCAUUAUAAUGGGUAGUUGAGGAUUUGUUUGCAUAAAAUGGUAAUGUAACCAUCUAAACCAGUCUCCUUUUCACUUUACAUGCUUUGUCAUCUCGUAGAGCAAAUAUCCUGGGAGCUGAUUUUGUUAUCUUUUUUAGAUACUCAAUAAUAAUAUUGCUGGACUGACCUAAAAGUGAAGGAAAUAUCAGAACUCCCAAAUGUCAAAGCUGCUCUAGAAGGAUAAAAAUGUUUAUGGUUGCUGAGUCAGGGGGAGGAUAGGGGGAAGAGAUAGGGAGUUUGGGAUGGACAUGUACACACUGAUAUAUUGAAAAUGUAUUAACAGCAAGUACCUACUGUAUAGCACAGGGAACUCUGCUCAAUGUUAUAUGGCAGUCUGGAUGGGAGGGGAGUUUGGGGGGGAAUGGAUACGUGUAAAUGUAUGGCUGAGUUACCUCAUUGUUCACCUACAACUAUCACCAUUUUGAUGUCAGCUAUACCCCAAUACAAAAUAAAACGGUUUUAAAAAUUA